UACGAAGGGGGCUAGCGUUGCUCGGAAUCACUGGGCGUAAAGCGCACGUAGGCGGAUCUUUAAGUCAGGGGUGAAAUCCCAAGGCUCAACCUUGGAACUGCCUUUGAUACUGGGGAUCUCGAGUCCGGAAGAGGUGAGUGGAACUGCGAGUGUAGAGGUGAAAUUCGUAGAUAUUCGCAAGAACACCAGUGGCGAAGGCGGCUCACUGGUCCGGCACUGACGCUGAGGUGCGAAAGCGUGGGGAGCAAACAGG
rnacentral:rRNA from 1 species